rnacentral:lncRNA from 1 species
CAAGGCCCCCCACCAACGCCAUGAUAGCAUUCCGUGCAACAGCAUCCGAUGGGGGGAUAAGCCAUUGGUGGUGGAGGACAAGGUUCUGGAACCUUUGGUGGUGGUGGUGGUGGUGGUUCUUUUGGUUUCUCAGGUUCCUUAGGCUUUUCGGGUUCUUUCGGCUUUUCGGGUUGUUUCGGUUUCUCGGGUUCUUUGGGUUUUUCGGGUUCUUUCGGCUUUUCGGGUUGUUUAGGUUUCUCGGGUUCUUUGGGUUUUUCGGGUUCUUUUGGUUUUUCUGGUGCUUUAGGCUUUUCGGGUUCUUUUGGUUUUUCUGGUACUUUAGGCUUCUCAGGUUCUUUGGGUUUUUCAGGUUCUUUGGGCUUUUCGGGUUCUUUAGGCUUCUCAGGCUCCUUGGGUUUGGGAGGAGGAGGUGGAGGUUUGAUCUCAAUGCUCUUGAUUGAUCCAGCACCCUUGCAACAUAUCUUGUCCCUCAGCUUCUCAGGAUUGCAGCAUACCACGGUAAUGGUCACGGUGUUGGUUUUCUCAUCGUAUAUCUGGUCUCGUAUUUCUCUUGUUCGCAAAAACCCAUCAUCAAAAAAUUAUCAACUUAAACCAGUUCACACUUCACUGUCUUCAGCUCAAUCAUAAAAUAAAUAAAAAAACUACUUUGCAAUUAUUAAAAUGCUAAACACACAAAGGACAAGCAUAAAAAUCAGGAAACGGGAACUCACGAGGGAAUUUACACAGCACUUUCUUCACUUUCUUGUAG